GAUGAACGCUGGCGGCGUGCCUAAUACAUGCAAGUCGAGCGAACAGACGAGGAGCUUGCUCCUCUGACGUUAGCGGCGGACGGGUGAGUAACACGUGGAUAACCUACCUAUAAGACUGGGAUAACUUCGGGAAACCGGAGCUAAUACCGGAUAAUAUAUUGAACCGCAUGGUUCAAUAGUGAAAGACGGUUUUGCUGUCACUUAUUGAUGGAUCCGCGCCGCAUUAGCUAGUUGGUAAGGUAACGGCUUACCAAGGCAACGAUGCGUAGCCGACCUGAGAGGGUGGUGGGCCACACGGGGAGGGAGACACGGUCCAGACGGCGACGGGAGGCAGCAGUAGGGAAUGGGAGGCAAGGGGCGAAGGGCUGACGGGGCAACGCCGCGUGAGUGAUGAAGGUGUUCGGAUCGGAAAACUCUGUUAGUAGGGAAGAACAAAGGUGUAAGUAACUAUGCACGUCUUGACGGUACCUAAUCAGAAAGCCACGGCUAACUACGUG
rnacentral:rRNA from 1 species